rnacentral:rRNA from 1 species
GCUUACACAUGCAGUCGAGGGGUAACAGGGAGUAGCUUGCUACUUGCUGACGACCGGCGCACGGGUGCGUAACGCGUAUACAAUCUACCUUAUACUGGGGAAUAGCCUUUGGAAACGAAGAUUAAUGCCCCAUAGUAUUAUUGAAUGGCAUCGUUUAAUAAUUAAAACUCCGGUGGUAUAAGAUGAGUAUGCGUUCUAUUAGUUAGUUGGUAAGGUAACGGCUUACCAAGACAUCGAUAGAUAGGGGUCCUGAGAGGGAGAUCCCCCACACUGGUACUGAGACACGGACCAGACUCCUACGGGAGGCAGCAGUGAGGAAUAUUGGACAAUGGGCGCAAGCCUGAUCCAGCCAUGCCGCGUGCAGGAAGACUGCCCUAUGGGUUGUAAACUGCUUUUAUAUGGGAAGAAUAAGGGGUACGUGUACUCUGAUGACGGUACCAUAAGAAUAAGCACCGGCUAACUCCGUGCCAGCAGCCGCGGUAAUACGGAGGGUGCAAGCGUUAUCCGGAAUCAUUGGGUUUAAAGGGUCCGUAGGCGGGCAUAUAAGUCAGUGGUGAAAUGCUGUGGCUCAACCAUAGCACUGCCAUUGAUACUGUAUGUCUUGAAUUAUUGUGAAGUGGUUAGAAUAUGUAGUGUAGCGGUGAAAUGCUUAGAUAUUACAUAGAAUACCGAUUGCGAAGGCAGAUCACUAACAAUAUAUUGACGCUGAUGGACGAAAGCGUAGGUAGCGAACAGGAUUAGAUACCCUGGUAGUCUACGCCGUAAACGAUGGAUACUAGUUGUUUGGCUUUCGGGCUGAGUGACUAAGCGAAAGUGAUAAGUAUCCCACCUGGGGAGUACG